UUCAUGACACCUCAUUGCUUAUAUUGGAAAGGCUGGUUCGCCAGCUAUGGUAAUAAAUGGACAAUGAAAUAAACCCAUUGGACCCGGGGGCGGUACCCGGCGCCUCCACCAUAAGUCAAACAAGUUCGUUUGAUUUAUGAAGGGGGCGAAAUAGGAUCGACAAGGGCGUAAAGAUUGCUCUUUUACCCGGCAUUGUACCACCGUUAUCGGGCUACUUAAGUAGUUGCAAAUGACAACUAUGCGGAAGCUCGUCUCGCUGCUUAAUUGCGGCGCGAACGCUUCAAAUUAAGCCUUAAGCCUUCGCCGGCUUAAGCGGGGUUCGGAGGCACCUGGCAACAGAAGCCUUCA
rnacentral:tmRNA from 1 species